rnacentral:lncRNA from 1 species
UCUGCUGUGGAGCUCUGUCUGAAAGAGGAACGCUUUGCUGACGCCAUCAUCCUGGCUCAGGCUGGGGACGCAGAGCUACUCAAGUGGACACAAGAACGAUACCUAGCCAAGAGGAGAACCAAAACCUCCUCGUACAGCUUCUAGCCUGUGUCGUAAAGAAGAAUUGGAAGGACCUAGUAUGUGCCUGUAGCCUGAAGAACUGGAGAGAGGCGCUGGCCUUGCUGCUGACGUAUUCAGGGCCAGAGAAGUUCCCUGAGCUCUGUGACAUGCUGGGAGCUCGCAUGGAGCACGAGGGAGGCAGGGAGCUCACCUCUGAAGCCAGGCUGUGCUAUGUGUGCUCAGGGAGUGUGGAGCGGCUGGUAGAGAG